rnacentral:SRP_RNA from 1 species
CGUGAUAGCCGGGGAGGUAGCGGCGUCCUGUACCCACAAUCCGCUAUAGUGGGGGUGAUGUCUGCUCUAGGCUUCAUCAUUUUAUAGCCUGCCCUUUGAAUUGGGCGUUGACGGUUGAGUCUUACGCAACAGGAAUUUGUGAACCGUGUCAGGUCCUGACGGAAGCAGCACUAAGCAAACCCUUCUGUGUGCCGUAAGGGUGCUUGGCCCGAGCUUUUUUUCUUUGGUUACGUAUGGAG